UCCGGGUUGGUCCCGGCGGUCCGGCCAGACGUGGUAACUGGCCGCGGGGGUUGCGCUCGUUGCGGGACUUAACCCAACACCUCACGGCACGAGCUGACGACAGCCGUGCAGCACCUGUGCAGGCUCCCUCGCGGGUCCCCUCGGUUUCCCUCGGGUACCACCUGCAUGUCAAGCCCGGGUAAGGUUCUUCGCGUUGCAUCGAAUUAAACCACACGCUCCGCUGCUUGUGCGGGCCCCCGUCAAUUCCUUUGAGUUCUAGCCUUGCGGCCGUACUCCCCAGGCGGGGUGCUUAGCGCGUUAGCUGCGGCACCGCGGGGGUCGAUACCCGCGACACCUAGCACCCAUCGUUUACGGCGUGGACUAC
rnacentral:misc_RNA from 1 species